CCUACGGGUGGCAGCAGUCGAGAAUCAUUCACAAUGGGGGAAACCCUGAUGGUGCGACGCCGCGUGGGGGAAUGAAGGUCUUCGGAUUGUAAACCCCUGUCAUGUGGGAGCAAAUUAAAAAGAUAGUACCACAAGAGGAAGAGACGGCUAACUCUGUGCCAGCAGCCGCGGUAAUACAGAGGUCUCAAGCGUUGUUCGGAGUCACUGGGCGUAAAGCGUGCGUAGGCUGUUUCGUAAGUCGUGUGUGAAAGGCGGCGGCUCAACCCGAGAAGUGCACAUGAUACUGCGAGACUAGAGGACUGGAGAGGGAGCCGGAAUUCGCGGUGUAGCGGUGAAAUGCGUAGAUAUCGAGAGGAACACUCGUGGCGAAGGCAGGUUCCUGGACAGUAACUGACGCUGAGGCACGAAGGCCAGGGGAGCGAAAGGGAUUAGAUACCCUUGUAGUC
rnacentral:rRNA from 1 species